UACGGAGGGUGCAAGCGUUAUCCGGGUUCACUGGGUUUAAAGGGUGCGUAGGCGGAUUUGUAAGUCCGUGGUGAAAUCUCCGAGCUUAACUCGGAAACUGCCAUGGAUACUAUAAGUCUUGAAUGUUGUGGAGGUUUGCGGAAUAUGUCAUGUAGCGGUGAAAUGCUUAGAUAUGACAUAGAACACCGAUUGCGAAGGCAGCAGGCUACACAAAUAUUGACGCUGAGGCACGAAAGCGUGGGGAUCAAACAGG
rnacentral:rRNA from 1 species